GACGAACGCUGGCGGCGUGCUUAACACAUGCAAGUCGAGCGAUGAAAGCCUUAUGAACUAUUCGUAGUGAUUGGGGCCGGAUUAGCGGCGGACGGGUGAGUAACGCGUGAGCAACCUGCCUUAAACAACGGGAUAGCCUCGGGAAACCGGGAUUAAUACCGUAUGAGACCCCGCCUUCACAUGAAGAAGAGGUUAAAGAUUUAUCGGUUUAAGAUGGGCUCGCGUCUGAUUAGCUAGUUGGUGAGAUAAAAGCCCACCAAGGCAACGAUCAGUAACCGGCUUGAGAGAGUGAACGGUCACAUUGGAACUGAGACACGGGCCAAACUCCUACGGGAGUCAACAGUGGGGAAUAUUGCACAAUGGGGGAAACCCUGCUGCGGCGACGCCGCGUGAGCGAUGAAGGAAUUCGUUUCGUAAAGCUCUGUCCAAGUGGAAGUUAAUGACAGUACCCUUGGAGGAAGCCCCGGCUAAAUACGUGCCAGCCGCCGCCGUAA
rnacentral:rRNA from 1 species